rnacentral:rRNA from 1 species
UACGUAGGGUGCGAGCGUUAAUCGGAAUUACUGGGCGUAAAGCGUGCGCAGGCGGUUGUGCAAGACAGAUGUGAAAUCCCCGGGCUUAACCUGGGAAUUGCAUUUGUGACUGCACGGCUAGAGUGCGGCAGAGGGGGGUAGAAUUCCACGUGUAGCAGUGAAAUGCGUAGAUAUGUGGAGGAAUACCGAUGGCGAAGGCAGCCCCCUGGGAUGACACUGACGCUCAUGCACGAAAGCGUGGGGAGCAAACAGG